rnacentral:lncRNA from 1 species
CACACCAUGCAUUCCUAUGCCUAUCCCUUAGUCAUGGCUUCCUUUGUUGGAGCACCCCAGCAAAGAAGAUUGGACAUCUGAAUCAGCUAUGUAAGGCAAAACCUACCUCAUGCUCAGAGACUCAGCAUCCUCACUGAAUGCGUCAUCACGCCUGGUGAAUGAGUUAUUUUUGUUGAAUGCAAAAAUUCGUUCCUUACAAAAAUAUGGCCUCUUUAGGGACCAGGAAAUAGGAGAGUUAAUAUUCUCACCAACAGUAUUAAUGUGUUUAUCCUUCCUUGUAAUUCUAAGAAUCUGAGACAUAUAAAGACAAAAGGAGGCCAGGUGUGGUGGCUCACGCCUGUAAUCCCAGCACUUU